CUCAGUUUCCCUUGGAAUGCCUCGACUUUUGAAAUACAAAAACAAGGAAAGACACUCUUUCUCCUUCACCAUCAUUUUCUUGAGAUGUUGAGCUCAGCCCUUCCUUUAUGUUACCUCAAUAGCAGAAAGAAACACUAAGAAUAUAGACAUUUAAACUGACAUUCCAAAAAGCAUCAGUCUUUGCAAGUUGAGGGCAAGUAUAAAUUUCAUGGCUGACCAGACUAAGAGAGGUUAAGUGAAAUGCUCAAAAUCACGUUCCUACUAAACAGUAGAGUCAGAAUUUAAAACCAAAAUAUCUGACCCCUGAGCAAUGCAUUUAACCACCUUAGUGAUGAGGUAAGAAUGCAGGAAGAAAAGCCACAAUGCAGGGCCACAGUGAGCUGUUACGCAGAAACAGAAACUGUAUCGAGCCCAGGAGUGUGCAAUGAAUGGGGAGGGUAAAAUGACAGGGCUCCGAUCUAACUUGAAGAAUACCUCUCUCUGGAGAAAUGACAUUCGAGCUGAGAUCUGAAAGAUUGUAUAGGAGCUCACUAAUCACCAGGAAGUUAGAAUUGCACAUGCAGAAGCCGUGAGACAAUGCUGAUCACAGCAUCCUGUAGAUAGAAAGAAGGCCGAAAUGCCCGGAGCAGAGAGUGUCAGGGAGACUGAUGAGUGCUGAGGCUAGAAGCCAAGCAGAAGCCGCCUCUGGAGGGACCUUGGAAGGUGUGUUGAUGAAUUUUUCUGGAAAGGCCUACCUCACAAGAGCCUCAAGUCCUGAGCAUACAACCCCUCUUCAAGCUUUCAUCAUGAAUGAACGAAUAUGAUUUCAAACUCACAAGGUAUAGUAGUAUCUGGUUGGCUCAACUUGGGCUAAGUGUCCCCUGCUUAUCCAGUCAACAGAAGGGUCAGGGUCACAUGGUCCCUAGAGUCCAUCAGUGUGAGGAAGGAGUGUCUACUAUAAUCAAAUGAUGCCUAUCAGCCCACAGAUUCCUGCACUGACCAGCAUCUCUGGAAUUAUGAGAUUCCCAGGCAUCCUUGGUUUACCUUAGUCAAUAAGUUUUACUGUAAAGAUAAAAUGGGACAUUAAGAAAACCCUGACAUUCAUUCAGCAAACAACUUUAGCUCCAGCAAAGCCACUGUACACAGCAAAAAUGAUAGCCAGUCUGACUUGUGAUUAGCUUCUCAGCAGCAAGCACCCAAUUUAAACUCUCUGCCUUUAAUGUUUCUUGGUGAGUCUCAGGCUCUGCUUCUUCUUCUCCGGUUAUUACAACUUAACUCUCUCUGUGUCUCCUGUUCCAAUUCCCCGACUGUAAGGACCAGAUUGAACUGAAGUCACUUUCUGGUAUAUGAUUUCCCUGUGGAGGAGGUCAUUUACCAGGGCCAGGUAAUUUCUGGGGAUUAGCUAAAGAGGGCUGCCAUCACUCCAGCCAUUUCGUCUCCAAUUGGUGGAAAGAGUCACAGUGCUGCCAGUACAGUACUGAACCUCUGUGGAAUUUUUUAAACACUUUUAAAUGAGGAGAUUUCAAGAGAAAAUCCAGAUUUUCAGUUUUCCUUGAAAAACUGGAAACACUAGCCACAGUCAACCGGUACUAACCAGCGACUGACCCCUUCAAAAUGGCCCCUGAUCUCUAUAGUUCAACAUAGUCCUUAAACGUCCCUACUGUCAACUGGCUUCACUCAUUUACUUUCAAGCAUGAUCCCGGGAGGCAUUUAAGUUGGUAAACACUAAAGUAAGUGGUUAUGUGCAGCCACUUUUCUCAAAAGGGAGUCUAUGCUGAGGAAGGUACUUAAAAUGAGUCACUAAACUAUAGGACUGUCACAAGUUCAAGUUCAGAAACCAUGCCUCAUAUAAUUUCAGUGCUUCUCCUCUGAGAGAACUUGGAGAUAAGUCUUGGAACACACUUGGCCAGUGUCCCUGCAACCUGCUGCCUUUAGGAAGUGAUCCUUCACUCUACCAUGAUAACCUAACCGGACUUGGCCUGAGCAUUAUAAAAAGGGUAAGGAGAAAGGAAUGUUUGCCAGACAGUGGACCAAAGCCAUACCUCCUCUUAGGCCAUCCUCCUCUGCCCUAAUGGUGCCUGUUACAAAACACAGUAACAAUAGGGUCUCUUUGCCAAGCCACAUGCUCCUUCUGGUUAUCAGAUGGCCCUGAGGGGCGGAUACCUUAUGCGGGUAAGAUUAGGCACUCACAGUCUUACACUAGCACCUUCAUGCUUCGGUCUUAAGAAGAGAUGCCACGUCUUGUAAAAACACAUUUUCCAGGCCAAACUGGUGUCCACUUGCCUGCCAACAAUAUGACCUUGGGCAUGUCACUUAAUCUGUUUCAGCUUCCAUUUCUUCAUCCAUGAAAUGUAGAUAAUACUCUGAAGACUAAAUGCAAUGAUGUGUGUGUGUGUGCACUUCCCUCUGCAUCCAUGUAGGGUAUAAAAUAACUUCAAACCAGCUGUUGGAAUAUUUAACUUAAAUUAACCUCCACAACCCCAGCCCUUAUCUUGUCAUCAUGAGAAGUUCUGACCUCCCCCAGGUUCCCACUUCCCUUCAGGCCUUCCCCAAUCCAAAUAUUUAGCCCUGGUCUUGCGAAGAAAAGAGCUGCUCAGUCUUACAGGCGGCUGGAGGACUUCAACGUGGCUGCAGCUGUUACUGUUUCAGGGUGAAUGCCAUCUGGCCUCCUUGGCGAGUUCACCCCGCAAGCAUCUCCCUGGGCUGCCACGCGUCACCGAUCCCCGAACCUUCAGACCAAGGAGGGGCCCAGCUCGGUGCAGCUGCUAUCGUCAGCAGGCGCUGGCCUGAGGACAGAAGGAACGCUUGUUUAGACGAAGUCUCUCUCCCCUGGAGGAACGCUGCUAGGGAAGCCUUGCCUGCCGCUCCCACCUCUUGGGUCGGUUCCCGUAUCGCAGACUUGCAGUCCACCAGCCGCUGUCGCCGAAACGCGCUCUCGGCCGUUCUCCCAAAGCGCACCGCCCAUCUAGCGCGGAGGGGUCGGAAAGCAUUUCCAAACUCAACAGCACGCUGUGACAGAACCAUCCUCUCUUGUGAUUCAAGCCCCCAGGCCCCUGAAAGGAGAGAAAGACCCUCCCUCUCACACUCUGAAGCCAUUCUCCUAUGACUGGAGGGAAGUUUCUGUGACUACUGAAAUUGAAGGAGACCCAAACCGGAUCAGCCGACGCUUGCCUGGGUGCAGAAAGAACGCUUGUGAACACCGGGAGAGUCUUUCUCAUCCAAUAUGAGGCUCCACUGAAAGAGAGUCAGAGAAGAGUCAGGUGGAGUGUCUAAGAGAGAAGGAAAGACACUAAUUGAUGUCCCUGCAGGUGGAGACAUGAAUGGGAACAGUGUUCUUCCCAACGGUGACAUUCAUGUGUGACUCUUCCCCUCUCCAGCCACGGAAGCUCAUCCACAUGAUUUAACCUUGCUGAACCUCAUGACACUUCCAAUGACACAGUUUCCACUUCACUUUUUGUUUCUCAGGUCCUUUCUGCCUCUGAAGGGGUCAGAGGCUCCUCAGUUUCCACAAAUCCUCACAAAGGCCAGUGUUUCCCAGGCCCCUCUUCUCUUGGCUCUCUUCUGGCUCUGGAUAGGCUUUCUGGAUGGCCUUAAAAGUGCUUCAUUGGACUGCACCCCGGUCUUGAAAACCCUGAAACCAAUGAAGAUGCAUGGAUGGGUCCACAACAGUCACCGUACAGAGGUGUUCAGCUGGGGCUCUUCCUACAAAACCACAUUGAACAUAUGAGUGUGGGCUGGCUCCAGUCUCUCGUCCGGUGAGUGGGGCACCACACACUCAGUGCUACAGUCACAGGGCCAGUGGUGUAGUGGAGCAGUUCAGUGCUUAUCUGAUAUCUUGACAAUUAUAAAGUGAGAAAUGUAGCCCUAAAUAGCUUCCGAAAAUACUACGGCACAAUGAGGAUGAUAGAGAUCACCUCAGUAUAGCUACCAAAAGAGUUUCCCUUUCAUGACUGAAAAAAAAAAUUAACUUCCUGAUCUGAAUUCCCCAUUAAAAUUCUCUGCAAUAGAAUGAGUUUCCGAAUCUCUCCCAUUAAUGUGUCUUGGAUGCCAAAGCCUGGAAUCUGACUUGGAGAUAGGAAAGGAUACAACCAGGAAUCAGGCACCCCGCCUCCUGCACUGUCCUCCCCUCAUAUGGAAACUACUCUCGUGGGAAGCAGAAGCCCUCAUUAUUACAUGUUACCUUCAAAACAGACAAAGGGUGUAACUCCCAGCCUUCAUUCUAAAGAGGAUAUUGUGUCUGAGCUCCUGGAGGACAAAAUUGCCUUAAUAUCUUGGAAUCCUCACUUAGUCCCAAGACUAGUGAGCAACACAUUAUGUGUAGGUUGUUGUCUGAUAAAAGCAUGAAAGAAAUAUCAAAUAAAGACUUGGAGAAAUAACAGAAUGAAUAGCUGAUUGAGUAAUAAUAAAUAAAUGAGAGAAUUUUGGGGGGUGGGGAGAAAUGCUCAAUAGGGCUUUUCGAAGUUCCUGAAGACUUACAGAAGCAUCUAAGCCUUGGGUGUACAAAUUCAGGAACUAGAUUUUAUCUGGAAUGAUGGUAUGAGAUUCUCAGGGUUUUAUCCCAUUUAACUUGAUUCAUAGAUCAGUGACAAAUUAAUCAGAAUGUCAAAUUGCUAAUUUACUAUGAGAAAUCUUAACUUUUGGCAUACAAAGUUGCUUAGCCCGAUUUCCAACUCACAGGGGGCACACAAUAUUAUUUAUUGACUAUUCAUAAUAUUUAAUCAAUUCAACAAAUAUUUAAUGAGUGCCCACUGUGAGGCAGGCACUGAACUUAGCAUGGAGGAUAAGUGGUGAGCAAAUGUAUUAGGUGAGGCCAUCGGGCAAGCUUCUCCAAAGGGAAAGCCUGUAUGAGAAACUUCAUUAAAAUGGAAAGGUUGCUUGUUACAUAUAAAAAUCAAAGAAAUAGAACUUGAUGAUCUUAAUGGGAAAUGUCCUCUAGAUCCGAUGGGCUGAUAUUUACAUUUUUCUAGUCUCCUUGACCUACUGUGUCACUUUAAGAGAUGGUACUUAGAUCAUGAAUGUAAUAUUUCAUCCUGGCUGUGCUCUUUCUCUGGGAUCUCUUUUCACUUCAAGCAGAGUGAGGCAUAGCAUCUGCUCAUUUUACUCAUCUCUGCAUCUUCUGAAACAUCAGUGCAGUACCUGGUAUCUACUGAACAUCAGCAGAUCAUGAAAAACUACAAAACAGAGGCCAUAUAUUCAGAGCCAGGGAUGCAUAUGCUCUUAAGUGUGGAAGGAUUUAUAAAGAUAACAGCAUUGUUGAAAUCUCAACUGUCAGUAUAGUAGGAAAAAAACAGGCAUAGAGCUCCUGAAACCAGACAGAUGCAAAAUGGGGACCAGAAUGAACUGUGAUUCACAAAGAAAUGAAAUGGUAAAUAAGACAAUACUACAACAAUUAAGACAAGACAAAAAGACAAUACAUACUUGUAUCUACAUCAAUAUCAAUUUCUAUAUGUGUAGCAGUUUGUGAGGACUGCUCUAACAAUACCCUAUAAAUGAGGUGACUUAUGCAAAGGAAAUUUAUUGCCUUACAGCUCUGGAGACUCUAAAUCCGAAAUCGAGAUGUUGGCAGGUUUGGUUCCUUCUGAAGGCUGUCGGGGGGAAUCUGUCUGUGCCUCUCUCCCCUUGCUUUGGGUAUUUGUUGGCAAUCUUUGGGCUGCCUUGGCUUAUAGGGGCAUCAUCGGCCCUCACUGAUCUCACGAUGAUGCUUUCAUCUCAUGAAGAUGUCCUCAUCGUCAUAUGGCUUUCUCCCUGUCUGUCUCUGGGUUCAAAUUCCCCCUUUUUAUAAGGACAGCAGUCAUUUGCGUUAAAGUCCACCCUAAUGACUUCAUUUGAUUAUCUAUAUAAAGACAGGUUUUCCAAAGCAAGGUCAUAUUCCAAAGUACUGGAGGUUAGGACUCCAUGAUAACGUUUUUGGGGGAUAUAAUUCAUCCCAUAACAAUAUGUUUGUCAUUCAUAGAAGAUUUCUGCACAAGUAUUCAAGAAAAUGUCAACAGUGAUAACCCUGAAGGAGUUGGACUGAAGGAGAGGAUUUUUAUUUUUUACUUUCUACUUUUCAAUACUAUUUGAAAAUUUAACAAAGAACAUAUAAUAUUUUCCUGAUUAAAAAAUUAUCAUUUAAUGGCUAAUUGAGUCUUUCUUCAUUAUGUCAUUAGAAACAGGCAACAGAGCAUUUAAGAGGAAACACAUUUCAUGUCUGAAAUACAUACUUCAGGAUUUGGAUAAGUAGGAGAAAAUCUAGAUUCUGCUUCCAGUGAACAUAGUGCUUUACUAAACCAGAUUAUUGAGGCUGUAAACUGCCUGGACCUGGACUAGUUUAAUCCCAUUUUGGACACAAUGCCCAGUAUGUUUCUGGCCUUCUACCUAGGCAAAAGUGAGUAUCUGUGACCCAUUUUUUAGUCACUACAGUUUACUGGCUAAUAUCAGGCAUCUCCUCUGUUCUUAAAAAGUGGAUUAAUGUGGAAUUAGCUGUCUGUGCUCUAAUCCCUUAAAAGGGCUACAAUUACAGAGCCAAGCAAGGCCAUUGGAGGCAAAGCUCAUUGUUGCUGUUUGUACGCUUGCCAGUUUUCUCUGAGUGGUUCCCCUGUGCCAUGCCUGUAAGGCCACAAGUGUGCAUCCCAUGGGGCCCAGCCAAGGAACUUCAGUUCAAGGCCAACACCACACAAAAUUUAUUUCAGCUGUCUCACAACUCAGUUUUUUGAGAAGAAUCAACUAAUGGAAACUUUUGAUUUCAGUGUCACUAUAUGAUUGUUGCAAGAGCAGACUUUAAUAUAAACCUAGAGAGGACCUAUUUAAUUCAUCAGUCAACAGCAGUUUUUAGUUUAUCUAUGGUUUUGCUAAGUGCCUUAUUUAGGGCAGCAUGUGAGUGCAUGAUUAGUAACAUGAGGCUCAGAAUCAGAAAGACUUUGAUCUGAGUACUAACUCCAUCAAAUAUUUAAAAUUGAGCCACAUGAUAUUUUCAGCAUUCAAUCAUUCUGAAAUGUAACUCAAGGCAGUGAGCAGGUGCAGUCACACUGCCAUAAUAGAAUACUCUGCUGGCUGGCUCAAACAACAAACAUUUAUUUCUCAUAGUUCUGGAAGCUAUAAAGUCCCAGAUCAAGGCACUGGCAGAUCCAGUAUCUGUUGCAGACAGACAUGUCAUUGUAUCCUCACAUAGCAGAAAGUAGGGAGAGAGGAUGCACACUCUCUCAUGUCUCUUCCUAAAAGGGCACUAAUUCCACUCAUGAGGGCUCCACCCUUGUGACCUAAUCACUUCCCAAAGUCCCCACCUCCUAAUACCAUCACAAUGGGGAUAGGAUUUCAACAUACUGAAUGAAUUUUGGGUGAAUGCAAAUAUUCAGUCCAUGGCAAGCAUUUUUCUACAGUGAAGUCUUGAAUGGUGUCUUUGUUCCUAAGUAUCCCAGGCAUGAUUUACAACUCACACAACAUAUGGGACAAAGUCCAUGAUCCCUGCUCCAACAUUUUACUGCUAAUCUGUUAGAUUUUUAUGCAGGUUCACACCGACGUGUGGGCACUCUCAGAAUCUAACAGUCAGGUGUUAUUUCAAACUAAGCUUCAAUACUUAUUUAGUUCAGAAGUAACAUAUUUUUCUUUCAAUAAAAUUUAUACUGAAAUCAAUUCACCUACUAAUUCAAAUUCACUUACCAAAGCACUAAAUAAUUUGGUGACAUCAUUUUCUUUUCUCUGCAGUUCUUUUUUCUCUUUUCUUUUCUUUUGAUACUUAAAACAU